rnacentral:rRNA from 1 species
ACGGCCGUACCAUGCUGAAAAUACCGGCUCUCGUUAGAUCACCGAAGUUAAGCAUCAUUGGGCGCGGUCAGUACUUGGGUGGGUGACCACCUGGGAACACUGCGUGCCGUU